GAGAGGAGACGAGGGAAGAGGGGAGGAGGAGGAGGAGGAGGUGUGUGGGAGGGUGGAGUGCCCCUCCUCCCCCUCCUUCCCCUCCCCCGUCCUUCUCUCUUC